CGGCUGCAAGGCCCCGCGGCUGCAAGCCCUUUGGCUGCAAGGCCCCGCGGCUGCAAGCCCUGCGGCUGCAAGGCCCCGCGGCUGCAAGGCCCCGCGGCUGCAAGCGCGGCGGCUGCGCCCGUCCCGCCCUCCUAGGGCCUCUGGGCCAGGGCGAUGGACAGCGGCUUGGAGCCCAGCACGCGGCCGUUCAUCUCGGCCAAGGCCCUGGCGGCCUCGUCGGCAGAGGAGAAGCAGAUGAGGCCAAAGCCUUUGCUCCGCCCUUCCUCCCGCAUGAUCUUGACCCUGCUGACGGCUCCGAAGCCAGAAAACUCCCUGCGCAGCCUGUCCUCGUCGACGGCGUCGUCCAGGUUCUUGACGUAGAGCUUGGCGCCCUGGGCCCUGCGGAGCCCGUCCUGCUGCCGCUGCUCGAAGGCCCGCCUGAGCUCCGCCUGCCGCUCCGCCUUCCUCUGCGCGCGGCCCACGAACAGCGGCUGCCCGUCCACCUGCCUGCCGUUCAGGGCCUCCACCGCCCGCCGGGCCGCCUCGUGGCUCUCGAAGCUCACGAAGCCGAAGCCGCGGGACCUGCCGCUGGCGUCGGUCAUCACCUUGACGCUCAGGGUCUUGCCGUACUCGCUGAACACGGCCCUGAGCCUGGCGUCGUCCAUGCGGCCGCCGAAGUUCUUGAUGUACAGGUUGGUGAACUCGCCGGCGCGGCUGCGCAGCUCGGCCUCGCGGGCCUGGCGGCUCUGGAAGCGGCCCACGAAGAGCCUGCAGCCGCGGAGCUGCGCCCCGUUCAUGUGCUCGAUGGCGCGGUCGGCGGCGCUCUGCUCCUGGAAGUGCACGAACGCGUAGCCGCGGGAGCCGCGCUCGUCGCUCACCACCUUGGACGACAGGAUCUUCCCGAAGGCCGAGAAGCGCUCGAAGAGGGCCUUGUCGUCCACGGACCGGUCCAGGUUCUUGAUGAACACGUUCCCGACGCCCGACUUCCGCAGGUGCGCGUCGCGCUGGGACCACAUGAGGCGGAGCGGCCGGCCCCGCAGCACGUCGAAGUUCAUGGUGUCCAGGGCCCGCUGCGCGUCCGCCAGCCGCAGGAAGUUCACGUAGGCGUAGCCCAGCGAGCGGCGGGUCAGCAGGUCCCUGCAGAUGCGGAUGGACAGCACGGGCCCCGCGGCGCUGAACUUCCGGAACAGCGCGUCCUCGGUGACCUCGGCGUCGAGAUCCCCCACGUACAGGGACGCCUGGCGGUACUUGGCGGCCACGUUCAUCGCUCGGCUCCUCCCCGCGGCCCCGGGGCGACUCCGGCGCCUCCUCCCGCCGCGCCCCGCUGCGGUGCUGGCCGAGCCCCCCGCGCGCGCGCGGAGCCUGCCCGCGAGGCCCGGGGAUGGGGGGUGCAAGGGGGCGGCUCCUGCAGGGGAGGGCAACGGUCUCAGCUGGGGAGCGCAGGAAAGAGAAAGGAAAGAAACAAAAAGCAAGCUCCCCGCCUCCGCGCGAGCAACCAAUUCCGCCUCAGAAGGCCACUGAAUUUUGCAGUCUGCAAGACAGGCUCCGGGGCGAGGGCGAGGGCGAGGGCGAGGGUUGGGGUGGGCGUGGGGGGUGCAAGGCGUUGCUUUGCAAGGGGCGGCCCGGCCCUCCGCAGUCGGAGGCUUCCCUACACGCACGCGGGUGGCUGGUUUCUGCAUAAAAGCAGGCCUCUCCCGGGCUUGCUGCAAAGUUACGGGCGCCGCGGGGAACAACUCCACAAGUGGCGUUGCCGGCGGCUGCUCGGGGCGCGCGGGGCGCGGGCCGGACCCGGACCCGAACCCGCCCGGGCCGGGGUGUGCGAGCGCGCGGGGGCGGCGGCCUGCAGGGCCGGGGCCGGGGCUGGGGCCGGGGCUGGGGGCUCACCCGGGGCUGCGGCCGGCGGGGGACCCGGAACUCGCGCGCUCAACUUCCCGCUGCCAA
rnacentral:lncRNA from 12 species